AUUGAACGCUGGCGGCAGGCUUAACACAUGCAAGUCGAACGAUGAUUAUCUAGCUUGCUAGAUAUGAUUAGUGGCGGACGGGUGAGUAACAUUUAGGAAUCUGCCUAGUAGUGGGGGAUAGCUCGGGGAAACUCGAAUUAAUACCGCAUACGACCUACGGGUGAAAGGGGGCGCAAGCUCUUGCUAUUAGAUGAGCCUAAAUCAGAUUAGCUAGUUGGUGGGGUAAAGGCCCACCAAGGCGACGAUCUGUAACUGGUCUGAGAGGAUGAUCAGUCACACCGGAACUGAGACACGGUCCGGACUCCUACGGGAGGCAGCAGUGGGGAAUAUUGGACAAUGGGGGCAACCCUGAUCCAGCCAUGCCGCGUGUGUGAAGAAGGCCUUUUGGUUGUAAAGCACUUUAAGCAGGGAGGAGAGGCUAAUGGUUAAUACCCAUUAGAUUAGACGUUACCUGCAGAAUAAGCACCGGCUAACUCUGUGCCAGCAGCCGCGGUAAUACAGAGGGUGCGAGCGUUAAUCGGAAUUACUGGGCGUAAAGCGAGUGUAGGUGGCUCAUUAAGUCACAUGUGAAAUCCCCGGGCUUAACCUGGGAACUGCAUGUGAUACUGGUGGUGCUAGAAUAUGUGAGAGGGAAGUAGAAUUCCAGGUGUAGCGGUGAAAUGCGUAGAGAUCUGGAGGAAUACCGAUGGCGAAGGCAGCUUCCUGGCAUAAUAUUGACACUGAGAUUCGAAAGCGUGGGUAGCAAACAGGAUUAGAUACCCUGGUAGUCCACGCCGUAAACGAUGUCUACUAGCCGUUGGGGUCCUUGAGACUUUAGUGGCGCAGUUAACGCGAUAAGUAGACCGCCUGGGGAGUACGGCCGCAAGGUUAAAACUCAAAUGAAUUGACGGGGGCCCGCACAAGCGGUGGAGCAUGUGGUUUAAUUCGAUGCAACGCGAAGAACCUUACCUGGUCUUGACAUAGUGAGAAUCCUGCAGAGAUGCGGGAGUGCCUUCGGGAAUUCACAUACAGGUGCUGCAUGGCUGUCGUCAGCUCGUGUCGUGAGAUGUUGGGUUAAGUCCCGCAACGAGCGCAACCCUUUUCCUUAUUUGCCAGCGGGUUAAGCCGGGAACUUUAAGGAUACUGCCAGUGACAAACUGGAGGAAGGCGGGGACGACGUCAAGUCAUCAUGGCCCUUACGACCAGGGCUACACACGUGCUACAAUGGUAGGUACAGAGGGUUGCUACACAGCGAUGUGAUGCUAAUCUCAAAAAGCCUAUCGUAGUCCGGAUUGGAGUCUGCAACUCGACUCCAUGAAGUCGGAAUCGCUAGUAAUCGCAGAUCAGAAUGCUGCGGUGAAAACGUUCCCGGGCCU
rnacentral:rRNA from 1 species